GGAAAACACCCAGAAGAGUGAAAUAAUUAUUUUGUUCCCCGAUUGCCUUCCGCGCUCACAUUUUGCUUCUCCCUAGUUCCAUUUUGUUUCUCCCUAAUUUUCCUAAUCUCUUCUGCACGCCUCUUCUUCAUUGUUCACCGAAAAACGUUUUUUGUCAUUCACUAUACCGGUCUGAGUCUUCAUCAUCCGCCUGAGUUUCGUCCUUCGCCUUAGUCGCAUCCAUCGUCUGACUCUUCCUUCGUUGUCCGCCAUUGAUGCUUGAGCUUCGUCUGUCACAUUCCCCUCGAUGACCGAUGCAGUAACAACCACGACAUAUGCUACCAAUUAGGACUUGUCAAUCUGCUGAUAAUAGUGGUACAAAUAGCUGAGGAGGCUGAAUCACUAAGAGCAAGUUUGGAUAAAUAUAACUUACGGCAUCAGAAACGGAUGAGAGAAGCUAAUGAGAGAGCAGAACUAUUGGGACGAGCUAAUGGGGAUUUUGCUCAUGUUCUAAGAAUUUUUCAUGAGGAGGCACAGGCAUUACAUUCAGUUCGCGCCUCUGCCCCGGAACUAGAAAAUGCAAGUGCAAUUGGGGAAGCCAAUCCUUUCUUCAAUAAAUGGUCAAAAGAGAACGCUUGAAGAUUCCGUUGUAUAGAGGUUGAGAGAGUUUCAUGAUAUCAAGUGGAGAUAUCAGGGCCAUUGUUGACAUAAGACUUGUCAUUUCACAACAAUAGGAAUGACAAAAAAAUCUACGCUUACAGAUAUCCACGGAUAAAAGAUAGUUACUAUCCACGUAUAUUUAUUAUCCGUGAGUAAUAGGUAGCGGAUAUUUUGAUACCUGUUUCUAAAGGGUCGGAUGCAAGUAUUAUACUAUCCAACGCGGGUAUCUGUUACCCGAAAAAAUAAAUAAUAAUAAUUUAAUUAAUAUUUUUUAAAAUUUAAUUUUUUUUAUUACUCUUAAAAAAGGAAAAUUUUAAUACUAAUGACUUAAGAUUUCUUUCAAUUAUAGUUUUUUAAAAGAAAAAAAGAAAUAAAAAGGGUUAUAUUACUUUUAACCUAACUCUAAUAGAGAUAUUAGACAUAUACAUAGAAUCCCAUUAGAAAAUUCUCUUUUAACGGAUGACUUUUUUCUUCUUCCUUUUGGUUCAGUUUGCGCAGGGAGUAGGCUCCAUUCCCUGCACCUCUCUCUCACUCGGUUCUGAUUGGAGUUUUGUUCUAAUUUGGGAUUUGAAAUUAGGGUUUUAUUUGUUCUUUGAUUUUAGGGUUUCUUUUGUACGUUUUGGGAGUUCUUUUAUUGAUUUCUUCACUGUUGAUUGGUGACGCGAUUUUGGGGAUAUAAUUCAAAUGAGUGUUUUGAGUUUGUUUUUUGGAUUUUAGUUCAUUGAUGCAGGUUGGAUUUUUGAAGACUCUAGUGGUUAUCGUGGUUUGGAGAUUUCUAUGAUUGCGUUCGUUUUCAGAAUUUAGGUUUAGGGUUCCUGUUUGAGUUCUUUUGAAAAAUUUUUAUCUAUCUGUUUCAUAUAUUGAUAGGUAUUUGUGAGUUAAUCCUGUGACUAAAUUGAGAUUUCAGUUAUUGAGUGUUUCUUCCUCAUAUUUUUUUUCGUAAGUUGUUCAAGAUUUGUUUUCUAACUUGUUUAAAAAUUACAUUGUCUUUUUAAUAUAUAGCAAAUAUAUUAAAUUGUUCUUUUUAACUUGUAAUUUAAUUUAAAUCUUAUUUAAAAAUUCACAAAAUAUAUUUUUUAAAUAUUUGUGGGUUGAAAUGAGUAUUCAAAAAUUAUUCGUGGGAUAGAAAAAAUCCAAAAAAAAUUUUAUGCGAAUAUCUAGCGGAUAGCGGGUCAAGUUUCGAGUACCACAAAUUUUCUGAGGCAGUUUUU